UAGCUAGGAUUACAAGUGUGAGCCACCCGUUUCCACCCCACCCACCCCCACCCCACUCUCCCCUAAUUUUGUGAACAACAAACGGACAUUAGACUUAUUUUCUUGUACACACCCUAUCUUAAAAAAUAAAAAAAUAUGUAUCCUGGGAGGAAACGAAACUAAGAAACAGUUGAGUAACUGUUGAACCUCACAAUUAAAAUGGAGUUGUUUUUUCACUAAGUAAAGCAGGCAAGAUGGACAUUAUUUAGUUCAGUUACCUCCCCUUUGAAUAUAUGGAUCAGCAAUCUAACUAGAACUGUGACUUCAAAGCCAAUCAUAAGUUUAUUUGGUUUUGCCUGGAAGUUUAUUGAAAUCUCUUAUCCUCAAAUCUUAAAAGUUCUUAACUUUGAACAAAAGGAAAUACCCAACCCCUCAAUCCUCAUCUGACUAACUACUUUUUUUGGAGUUUGCUAAGCAUUGAGAAAAUAUUAGACUAACAGAUUUGGGUGAAGUUCCAUGCAUAUGUCCUAGACAACAUUUACCAAAGUCUGAAGACAGAUGUUUUCCAGUGCUGCUGAGAAAAAACACAACAGCAAAAAUUUUAAUGCAUCAGAGAGAUAAGCCUUUGCAGUACCACAAGAAGAUUAAAGUGGCAGACACUCCUUCCAGCAGAAGUUACUAAUUCGGACAUGACUGAUGCAGUUGCCAUAGCAACCCAUGUUUCCUGGGAAACCCGAAAAAGGUUGUCAUGGCAUCUUUUGCUCUCUAGCCCCACCCCACCUUUCCUGCCCUUGUUGUUUCCACAGUAACCUUUCUAGAUGGUUCCUACUUUGUGAUUUCACAAAGUAAACCACUAUUUGAAUAAACCACACAAAUAAAAUUAUGUCUGAGGAUACAAGGAGGUGAAAGGAAUCAUGAAAUGCUUCUAUUUCUAUGUAAAUCAUCCACCCUUGUGAUCUCAUAUGACUGAACCAAGAAAUAAAAUAUCAUCUUUGAAAUGUUACCAUAAGCCCCAAUAAGACAUGACCUGAAUUAAAUGCCAGUUAGCAGGCAGAAUCUGCGAUUUUCUUUUUCUAAGAAGUGAUAAUCCAACAAAUAAAAAUGAGAAGUCACUGUAAACAUGUUCUGCAUAUAAGCAAAUAAGAUAUUCAGUGCACCUGAACUCUUACUACAAGAGACCUUCAAAUCUCCUUGUUAAGAUAAAUAAACAAAAGGAAAAUCCAAAUCACACAUCAGAACUGUCACCACCACCACCACCACACUUGAAAAGCAAAAUGAACAUCAACUAUAUAAAAAAAAAUGCACCUUUUCAAUGAGGAAAUCACAGACAAUAGAAAGGAUUGGGAAUCUUCAGGAAAUGCCUGCAAGUUUCAGCCACAUGCUAAGGGCUGCCAGCAGCCAGCCAGCAUCAGGUCCUUGGAGAGCCCUAUGUAAAGAGCUGCAGAGCGGCCCGGCCCAGCAGGAUGCUGAGGAUGGAGAAUACAGUGGCACCUCCAUCACCGAUGCCCAGUGAUCUAUGUGCUAGCACAUGUUUUUAUUUCAGCUAACAUUGAAUAUUACAUCUCUAACAAAUGCUUUAUAUAGACAAAGCAACUCAAAGCUGGAAGAUAUUCUUCAUCUUGAGUGCAGCAUAAACGAUUCUGAUCAACAUUUAAAAAUAUUAAGGUAUUCAGCCUUUUGAUACGUUAAUGAAAUCUAAUAAUCCAAAAGCUAUAAGCAGUGUUACAGAUAAAGAAAGUCUAAAUGUGUGUUCUAACCAGUCAAUUCUUACUGGUUAUUUUUUUUAAUUUACUGGACUGUAUUUAAUCACAGAAUACAUUUGUGUUAUAGUCUGUGUUCUGAGUGAUGUACAACUUUAUUUUUGAAGAUUUUUUGUACCAAAGGCUCCCAUGCAUAGAUCAGCCCAUUUACACAUAACUAAGAAAAGUCAACACUGUGCCCAAAUGAAUGGUAUUAAAGAGAGACUUGCCUAAGAGAAAUGUGCCUUGCUUAAUUAAGCAUUCUUUUAUUUUUUUGUUUUAAAUGAUAUUUACAAAUUAGGUUUAGGUUUUAGUGGACCUUAACUUUACAAAAAUAAAUUCAUACUUAUUAUAUGUUUAAGUUGUUUAUCUUGAUAAAAUGUUUAACAUUUAGUUAUAUUUUUAAACAGGUCAUAUGUCAUAUAUGAAUUCAACUUUAUUUUCAUGAAAUGUUCAUGGGUGAGACAAAGUACAUUCUUAAAGAUAUAUAGAUAUAUAGAUAUAUAUAAUAUUCCAUCCGAUAUUUAUAACCUUUCCUGCAAAAUUUAUGUGUAAAAGAUUCUUGGACUCAUUUUCUAUUUUUAUAUUCUUUUAGAAACAGAACUCUUUUCCAAGUGAAAAAAGUAAACAAGCAGACUUUUAGUUGGGAAAGAAAUUUAGGAGGUCAUGAAGGUGGCUUCCCAUUUGGGGACAUUUCACUUCUGUGCCAUUACUAAUAUAUUGACUGUGACAUUUCAGCAGAACGGUAGCUAUUUGUAUAUUAUUUUGUAAGCCUUACAGAAAGUCAAACUGUGAACAUUUAGUAUACAGAAAACUUCUUUUCAUUUCCAUAUUUUAUUUUCAAAUAAACCUGAACAAAUGUGUAAAUAAACAAUCUCUUGUUACUUAAAUGCAUAACAUAAUAAUUCUGAAUUAUAAAAAAGAACACCUGUAGAAUUUUAAUUUCAGUCAAAAAGCCAAUAUUAGAAACUUUUGGAUGUCCUAUAAAAGGAAAUACAAAUGAUGAAUUUCAUUGAUCUAAAAGAACCAUUAAUUCAGCAUUUACCUAGUAGCCACAAAGUAAAUGGUAGGAAAUACAAUCCAGGUAACUUUCUUUGAGGCAAGGUCUGCAAUGAAUUGUUCACGAUCUUCUAGUAAUUUCCUUGUGGUCAAAAUUUGCAGACUAAAUCAUUAUUGGAAAAAAAGUGAAAAAAAAUGACAAUAUUUAGAUUUGACCUAUGUGAGCCUCCAACUAAGAUUUGUGAAGCUAGAUAUAGUAGCUCAAACAUGUAAUCCUAGCUAUUUGGCAGCCAGGUUCUGGAGGAUUGUGAUUCAAGGCUAGCCAGGGCAAAAAGUUCAUUGUCUUGAAGCCAGUGGCUGAACACAAUGGCACAUACCUGUCACCCCACUUACAGGGGAAGUACAUGGCUAGGCACUGUAGCAUGUGUCCAGUUACACAAGGAAGCACAAAUAGAAGGACCACAGACUAGGUUGGCUUGGGCAUAAAACCAGACCUUAUUUCAAAAUAACCAACACAAGAACACUGGUGGCGCUCAAAUGGUAGAGCACCUACCUAGCAGAUAUGAGGCCCUGAGUGCAAUCCCCAGUGUCACCAAAACAAACAAACAAAAAAGACAAAGAUGAUUUGUGAUGAAAAUGAAAAGGUAGCCACCCCUUUGUUUUUGUUCUAUGUUAGCCCACAUAGUAGAGACACUGGAUUAGGAAAUAGUUCAUUACAGGCCUUUUAAACCAUUGUAAUUGACCAUCACAGACUGGUUAGCAGGGAAGUAGUCCUUAUCAGCACAGGAAUGAUCACUACAAACCCACUGACUGCCACAGGAGUUCUUCCAACAUACCAGUGUUUCCAGAAUGAUCCUGUGAUGUUUAUUUUAUAAAAAUAGACAUAAAAAACUAUCUUAUCAGAACCCCAAUAAUAUAACUUUAUGCACUGUAGUAUCUUAAAUACAAAAUCAGCAUCAUUAUUGCAGGCUAACCAUUUCAUGUAGAAAUAAAACCUGGACUUAUACCAAAAAAAGAAAAGAACAGAAUACUAUCAGAAGAAUAAUCUACCAUAUCAAACACAUUCACAUAAUAAGUAGUGAGAAAAAAAAAUACCACUGGCCUAGAUAACAGGAGACUGAUAUUCUCAACCCACUUCCAGCCUGUGGUACCUCAGAUAUGUUAGUUAAUUUUCCUAGGCUUCAUUUUCUUGAACUGCAAGCUGAGUAUGCUGUAUUAAAUAAUCUCCAAAGUCCUUCCCAUUUCUCAAGACCUUUUUUUUACACAUUUCUUUUUCAAAAUGCUUUGAAGAAUCCUUAAGUACACAACUUUUUUUUCUGAUGCCUUCUUAGGCAUAAAUUGAAAUAAAGUUGAAGACUUCCAAUUGAUUAUGCAAAGCGGAAAUAGCGUUCUUUCUUCUCUAAGAAUUUUUACUCAUCUGUAAUAGGAUCAUUUUAAAAGGUGGAAAAUCAUUUUACAGAAGAGAAAAUAGAUGAAUGAAAUAGCUAGAAAGGACAGGAAGAAUUUGACAAAUUUAAUUAGAUGUUAAGGUGAUUUUCAAAUUGCAUAGGAUAUGCUAAUAGGGUAUCCGAGCUUUUAUUGCACCCUCAACAAUGUAUGCCUGAGAAUGGAGGAAAGUAGUGCAAUCAGAGUGUUUGCCUUAAUCUCUCUUCAUUCUUUUUGCUUUUUAACCUAUGAAAACUUCUGCAGGCGUCUACAGCUGUAGUGUCAGUUCUACCCGGCACUUUCCUGUGGCCCACAACAGUCCCUUUAACUUCUCAGAACCCCAGUUUCUUUAUCAGGAAGGUGAAGAAUUUAAUUUCAUGAACUGUAUAUUGCUAGCAAAUACUAUAAACUUUUUACACCCGUUUUAUUCUGUACAUACAUAUCCCUAAGAAGCCACACAGUUCUAUUCAAAUCCAGAUGUUGCCACCACCAACAUUGAAUGGAGCUCAGCAAGACAUUAACAAAAUAAAAAGUUAAACCUUAUUUUUAUUCUGGCCAUGCAUUAGUUAUGAUUUGUCAUCUCGUUUUUGAAUGUUGAGUUAGUUAAUUAAACCAAAUGUUUUCUCAAGUUACUCUUAAUUUUUGUGAUGAAUACUCCAAAUGUAUUAUGCUUAUCAAUGAAAUAUGGCUGCUGGAAAGGUGCAUAUUUGUCCCAUUAAAAACUUAAUGCUCUUUUGGUCCUAGAAGCAAUGACGACAGUGUACAAUAAUGUUCAUAAAAUUUUGUGAAUUUUUUUAGUAUAAAGGAGGCCUGUUUGAGCCAUAUUGUCAUUGAUUUUGCUCAGGAGUGAGGAAUUAAAUUCAGGGAUAUACCAAACAUUUUUGUUUGGCAUUAGCGGAUAAUUGGUAAUUGAUGGGUUAUACCUUUUGCACAGCAAAGUUAACGGGUGACUAUACCAACUGGAAAGCAAGAGUUUAUUCUGGUGGCUGGUUUUUAUGAUAGAGAUUAAGGCUAGAAGAGUGCUAGAAUUUGGACACUAGAAAAGCUGUUAAAAUGAUAGCAUUUCAUUUGAAUAAAACAGAAAUAUUUUGUCAUACAAGAUUAUUUGUCCAGAGGUUUAGUCUUAUAUCCCUAUCAUUCAGAAAGGGGGGGGGCAGUUUUUAAAGGCCUCUGUCAUAAUAGGAAAUGUAUAUUUUGACUAGUAGAGUAGUUCAUUAAAACAUUUAGUGUGAUCAUUUUGGAUUUUGUGAAUUUGAAACUUCUCUUUAGAUGUAAUCAAGUCUCAUGUGCAUAUUAGGGUUAGUGAUGUUCGUGAGAAGUGAUUUCAGUUCAUUUUGUGUGAAGUUGAUGAAAUUUUGCUAGGUGGUAAUUCUAGUGUAUUGUGUUACUGUAUAUCUGGCAAUCAUUUCUGAACUGCCCUUAUAAACUGUAGUCGUAUCUCUUGUAGUAAGUUGUUUCUGUGAUGUUAUUUCUUAAUUGUGAGUGGGGGUGGGGUGAGGGAGGUUAAGUAUUAAUUUACUUAAAACUGUCACAAUGUUUUUCUUAAAUACCAUAAAAUUGUAUGACUAAAAGCCAAAUAAGAAUAUCCACAUUUUUCAAUUUUUAAGGACACUGUAUAGACCAUUUUUGGAAUGCCCCACAAAAUGGUGUCAUUUAUGUUAAAAAGCUCCCAUACAUAAAAAUAUAUAUGUAUACAUGUACAUAUAUAUGUAUGUGUAUAUGUAUAUAUACACAUACACACAAUACACACAAUACACACAAGGGAAAGCAAACAGUGCAUGUAGUGUUUCUAUAUGCUAUAUUCAAUAUCACAUGAUACACAGGUCACAAAGUUACAAAAAAAAAUGCACCUGAAAUUUUUCAGCGAGUUUCCUAUGUGUUUAUUUACAGUUAUCUCAUAGUUUGCAAAGAUCAUGAACAUAUUCUAUUUAAUCUCUAAGAUAUCAUCCACAUGGGCUACUAAUAUCAUCUGAAGUUUAGAAACUGAGCAAUAUAGGUUUGAAACAAUCAAAUGACUUUUCCAAAAUUCUUUGACUAAUAAGUGACUGUAGGAAGUGGAGGUGUGUGUGGUUCAGGUAGUCGAACAUCAACUAGGAAAAAGACAAGAAAAGUGAGAGGCCCUGAGUUCAAGCCCCAAUACUGGCACCAAUUUUUUUAAUUGUUCUGAAGCUCAUGUUCUUUAUCCUCUGACAUGAUAUUUUUAAGCCUAUCACUGCCACUGUAGUUGAAACUCUGACCAAAACGUAAUUUUUUUAAUAUAAAAAGGGAAUUUUCAAGUUUUAGUGGAAAGGUAUUAUUGCUUUUUCUAAAGUCAGGCCUUUUCAAGUACUUCCAAGCUUUUGUCUUCCCCCUGAAAAUAUCCAGAUGUUGUCCACCUAGAAGAGAUUAAGUCCACACGCUCUGACAUUAGACACUAGGGUCAUGUAUUAUCAGCAUGCUAGAUUGAAAAGUGGUCUUCCCUGAUCUUUCUCGUUUAUUUUUUAAAAAUCCAUCACAAUGACUGAUUUCUAAACAGCUGAAGGAAGCAAGAACUCCCAAGUAAUUGCAAUUAUUCAAGACAGAGACAGAACCACAAGGCCUUCUAUCUUAAGAAAACUUAUUUCCUAUAAAUACACAAAAAGAACUGGUUGGUAUUAAAUAACAGCAUUAUUAACAUUAGUCAUAGUUCAAAUAUUUGGCAAACUUUCCCCCACAUAUUUCAAAUGCAUCUGAAGAUUUCCCCAGAUUAAAUUACAAUCUAAUAACUGCUCAAUUUGACUAUGGAGCAGAUUCUUGCAUGGAUUUCUGACAAAUGCUACAUUUUAUUCUUCCUUAAACAACAGAUAGAUACUGUUACUGCUUUCCCUUGUAAGUCAACAGUCUGUUAUACAUUCUGUACUUUCACUGACUAGCAAUGCAAUGUUACUGUGAAUAUUUAAAUAGAACAUGUACUUACUAUAUCAAAAAUUUAAAUUUUCUAAUCUUGAAUUUUGUUCUCCUCAAAUAGGUAAGUCAAAUAAGUAUUAUUUUGUAUUGAAUGAAGUAAUAAUUGUUCUUAAUGAUAAUAAAAAAUAAUGGGAUUCUGAAUAUGAUGUGAAAAUCACAUGUUUUACAUAUUCAUUUUUGCCUUUGAGUUAUGUUAACUUAUCACAUAGUAAUGUAAAGCAAUGAAUUCUGUAUCGUGUUCUCUGAUGUUCUUGUCAUAAUAAUUUUGGCCUUCUCUUAAGUAAAUACCAACAAAUAUCUGUGAGUUUUGAUUA